CUAAACUGUUCCGUGUAAAAAUUACUGUUUCACAUACGUGAUGCAAAUACAAAAUAAACCCAGUAAAACCAAGAGGUAGGUUGACUGAAUGGCUAAAUGAAUAGCUGAGUAUGCUUAUGUUGAUGUGUGCACAGGAUGUACACGCAAAGUGUCCAGGCAUUUCUUUUUUAAGCAGAGGUUUGUUGUUUUAAAUACAGACACACACACCACACAAAAAAAAACACUGUCAGAAAUAUAGGCAGAGGUUGUAUGUAUAGUUUGAUUUGAUUUAUAGACUUUCCCUUGUUUUUCUCUAGCUACUGACAUCUGUUCGCUCUCCCACAACCCUGGCCUUGAUGGCAUGACAAACUUAUUCAGACAAACACA